rnacentral:RNase_P_RNA from 1 species
GAAGACAGUCGGGCAGUUGCUUUUAUUUUAAAAGAGGAAAGUCCGGUCUCCAGGAGCAACGGUGCCGGGUAACACCCGGCAAAGGAAACUUUAGGGAAAGUGCCACAGAAAAUAAACCGCCUACAGGUAAGGGUGAAAAGGUGGGGUAAGAGCCCACCGCAUUAGUGGUAACAUUAAUGGCAAGGUAAACCCCACCGGGAGCAAGACCAAAUAGAGACGCAAAUAGCUCCAGAAUAGCGUCUGGGUAGGUUGCUUGAAACUAAUAGUGAUAUUAGUUCUAGAUGGAUAACUGCCGAAUACAGAAACCGGCUUAUAGACUGUCUUCGAAC